rnacentral:rRNA from 1 species
CUAAUACAUGCAAGUAGAACGCUGAAGAGAGGAGCUUGCUCUUCUUGGAUGAGUUGCGAACGGGUGAGUAACGCGUAGGUAACCUGCCUUGUAGCGGGGGAUAACUAUUGGAAACGAUAGCUAAUACCGCAUAACAAUGGAUGACACAUGUCAUUUAUUUGAAAGGGGCAAUUGCUCCACUACAAGAUGGACCUGCGUUGUAUUAGCUAGUAGGUGAGGUAACGGCUCACCUAGGCGACGAUACAUAGCCGACCUGAGAGGGUGAUCGGCCACACUGGGACUGAGACACGGCCCAGACUCCUACGGGAGGCAGCAGUAGGGAAUCUUCGGCAAUGGGGGCAACCCUGACCGAGCAACGCCGCGUGAGUGAAGAAGGUUUUCGGAUCGUAAAGCUCUGUUGUAAGUCAAGAACGAGUGUGAGAGUGGAAAGUUCACACUGUGACGGUAGCUUACCAGAAAGGGACGGCUAACUACGUGCCAGCAGCCGCGGUAAUACGUAGGUCCCGAGCGUUGUCCGGAUUUAUUGGGCGUAAAGCGAGCGCAGGCGGUUUGAUAAGUCUGAAGUUAAAGGCUGUGGCUCAACCAUAGUUCGCUUUGGAAACUGUCAAACUUGAGUGCAGAAGGGGAGAGUGGAAUUCCAUGUGUAGCGGUGAAAUGCGUAGAUAUAUGGAGGAACACCGGUGGCGAAAGCGGCUCUCUGGUCUGUAACUGACGCUGAGGCUCGAAAGCGUGGGGAGCGAACAGGAUUAGAUACCCUGGUAGUCCACGCCGUAAACGAUGAGUGCUAGGUGUUGGAUCCUUUCCGGGAUUCAGUGCCGCAGCUAACGCAUUAAGCACUCCGCCUGGGGAGUACGACCGCAAGGUUGAAACUCAAAGGAAUUGACGGGGGCCCGCACAAGCGGUGGAGCAUGUGGUUUAAUUCGAAGCAACGCGAAGAACCUUACCAGGUCUUGACAUCCCGAUGCUAUUUCUAGAGAUAGAAAGUUACUUCGGUACAUCGGUGACAGGUGGUGCAUGGUUGUCGUCAGCUCGUGUCGUGAGAUGUUGGGUUAAGUCCCGCAACGAGCGCAACCCCUAUUGUUAGUUGCCAUCAUUCAGUUGGGCACUCUAGCGAGACUGCCGGUAAUAAACCGGAGGAAGGUGGGGAUGACGUCAAAUCAUCAUGCCCCUUAUGACCUGGGCUACACACGUGCUACAAUGGUUGGUACAACGAGUUGCGAGUCGGUGACGGCAAGCUAAUCUCUUAAAGCCAAUCUCAGUUCGGAUUGUAGGCUGCAACUCGCCUACAUGAAGUCGGAAUCGCUAGUAAUCGCGGAUCAGCACGCCGCGGUGAAUACGUUCCCGGGCCUUGUACACACCGCCCGUCACACCACGAGAGUUUGUAACACCCGAAGUCGGUGAGGUAACCUUUUGGAGCCAGCCGCCUAAGGUGGGAUAGAUGAUUGGGGUGAAGUC